AGCAGCAGUAGGGAAUCUUCCGCAAUGGACGAAAGUCUGACGGAGCAACGCCGCGUGAGUGAUGAAGGUUUUCGGAUCGUAAAACUCUGUUGUUAGGGAAGAACAAGUAUCGUUCGAAUAGGGCGGUACCUUGACGGUACCUAACCAGAAAGCCACGGCUAACUACGUGCCAGCAGCCGCGGUAAUACGUAGGUGGCAAGCGUUGUCCGGAAUUAUUGGGCGUAAAGCGCGCGCAGGCGGUUUCUUAAGUCUGAUGUGAAAUCUUGCGGCUCAACCGCAAGCGGCCAUUGGAAACUGGGAGACUUGAGUGCAGAAGAGGAGAGUGGAAUUCCACGUGUAGCGGUGAAAUGCGUAGAGAUGUGGAGGAACACCAGUGGCGAAGGCGACUCUCUGGUCUGUAACUGACGCUGAGGCGCGAAAGCGUGGGGAGCGAACAGGAUUAGAUACCCUGGUAGUCCACGCCGUAAACGAUGAGUGCUAAGUGUUAGAGGGUUUCCGCCCUUUAGUGCUGCAGCUAACGCAUUAAGC
rnacentral:rRNA from 1 species